rnacentral:rRNA from 1 species
GAACGGUAACAGGUUAAGCUGACGAGUGGCGAACGGGUGAGUAAUAUAUCGGCACGUGCCCAGUAGUGGGGGAUAGCCCGGCGAAAGCCGGAUUAAUACCGCAUACGACAUACGGGUGAAAGGGGGGGAUCGCAAGACCUCUCGCUAUUGGAGCGGCCGAUAUCAGAUUAGUUAGUUGGUGGGGUAAAAGCCCACCAAGGCGACGAUCUGUAGAUGGUCUGAGAGGACGACCAGCCACACUGGGACUGAGACACGGCCCAGACUCAUACGGGAGGCAGCAGUGGGGAAUUUUGGACAAUGGACGCAAGUAUGAUCCAGCCAUGCCGCGUGCGGGAAGAAGGCCUUCGGGUUGUAAACCGCUUUUGUCAGGGAAGCAAAGUUUGGGGGUAAUAUCCUCGGGAGAUGACGGUACGUGAAGAAUAAGCACCGGCUAACUACGUG